AACCAGCAUACAAAUCUCCACCACCACCGUAUGUUUAUAGCUCUCCACCUCCUCCAUACUACUCGCCUUCUCCUAAACCCAUAUACAAGUCUCCACCACCACCGUACGUCUACAACUCUCCUCCACCACCAUACUACUCUCCUUCUCCAAAACCGGCAUACAAAUCUCCACCACCACCAUACGUAUACAGCUUUCCACCUCCUCCAUACUACUCGCCUUCUCCUAAACCCGUAUACAAGUCUCCACCACCACCAUACGUCUACAACUCUCCUCCACCACCAUACUACUCUCCUUCUCCAAAACCGGCAUACAAAUCUCCACCACCACCAUACGUAUACAGCUCUCCACCACCACCAUACUACUCGCCUUCUCCUAAACCAACAUACAAAUCUCCACCACCACCAUAUGUUUAUAGCUCUCCACCUCCUCCAUACUACUCGCCUUCUCCUAAACCCGUAUACAAGUCUCCACCACCACCGUACAUCUACAACUCUCCACCACCACCAUACUACUCCCCUUCACCUAAACCAUCAUACAAAUCCCCACCACCACCAUAUGUUUACAGCUCUCCACCACCACCAUAUUACUCGCCUUCUCCUAAGCUUACAUACAAAUCCUCACCACCACCCUAUGUUUACAGCUCUCCACCACCACCAUAUUACUCUCCUUCUCCUAAGGUUGUAUACAAAUCUCCACCACCACCAUAUGUUUACAGCUCUCCACCACCACCAUACUACUCCCCUUCACCUAAACCAUCAUACAAAUCCCCACCACCACCGUACGUCUAUAACUCUCCACCUCCUCCUUACUACUCUCCUUCACCUAAGGUCAUAUACAAAUCGCCACCACACCCACAUGUAUGUGUUUGUCCCCCACCUCCACCAUGCUACUCUCAUUCUCCAAAGAUUGAGUACAAAUCCCCACCAACACCAUAUGUUUACCACUCACCACCUCCCCCACCUUAUUAUUCGCCUUCGCCUAAACCUGCAUAUAAAUCUUCACCACCACCUUACGUCUACAGCUCUCCACCACCACCAUAUUACUCACCUGCUCCUAAGCCCGUAUACAAAUCUCCACCACCACCAUACGUGUACAACUCCCCACCACCACCAUAUUACUCACCAUCCCCUAAACCUACAUACAAAUCUCCACCACCACCAUAUGUAUACAGCUCUCCACCACCACCAUAUUACUCACCUACUCCUAAACCUACAUACAAAUCUCCACCACCCCCAUAUGUCUACAGUUCCCCACCACCACCAUAUUACUCGCCUUCUCCUAAGCCAACAUACAAAUCCCCACCACCACCAUACGUCUACAGUUCUCCACCACCACCAUAUUACUCACCUGCUCCUAAGCCCACAUACAAAUCUCCACCACCACCAUACGUUUACAGCUCCCCACCACCACCAUACUACUCGCCUUCCCCUAAGCCUACAUACAAAUCUCCACCACCUCCAUAUGUAUAUAGCUCUCCACCUCCACCACCUUAUUACUCUCCUUCUCCAAAGGUUGAGUACAAAUCUCCGCCACCACCAUAUGUCUACAGUUCUCCUCCCCCACCAUAUUACUCUCCUUCUCCAAAGGUUGAGUACAAAUCUCCUCCUCCACCGUAUGUUUAUAGUUCUCCACCUCCACCACCAUAUUACUCUCCUUCUCCAAAGGUUGAGUACAAAUCCCCUCCACCACCGUAUGUCUACAGCUCCCCACCACCACCCACGUAUUAUUCUCCUUCUCCAAAGGUUGAAUACAAAUCUCCACCACCUCCAUAUGUCUACAACUCUCCACCUCCACCGGCGUAUUACUCUCCAUCUCCAAAGAUUGAGUACAAAUCUCCACCUCCACCAUAUGUCUACAGUUCUCCAC
rnacentral:lncRNA from 1 species